GGGCUCACACAAGCGGUGGAGCAUGUGGCUUAAUUCGAGGCAACGCGAAGAACCUUAUCCUGGAUUUGACAUCUACGAAUGGCUCGCCUGAAAGGGAUGAGUCUGCCUUCGGGUGAAACGUAGACAGGUGCUGCAUGGCUGUCGUCAGCUCGUGUCGUGAGAUGUCGCGUUAAGUCGCUGAACGAGCGAAACCCUUGUUUUUAGUUGCCAGCGGGUCAUGCCGGGGACUCUAGAAAGACUGCCGGUGUCAAACCGGAGGAAGGUGGGACGACGUCAAGUCAUCAUGGCCUUUAUGUCCAGGGCUGCACACGUGCUACAAUGGAACGUACAAAGGGAAGCAACUCCGCGAGGACAAGCAAA
rnacentral:rRNA from 1 species